rnacentral:rRNA from 1 species
CCUACGGGCGGCUGCAGUGGGGAAUAUUGGGCAAUGGGCGCAAGCCUGACCCAGCAACGCCGCGUGAAGGAAGAAGGCUUUCGGGUUGUAAACUUCUUUUCUCAGGGACGAAGAAAGUGACGGUACCUGAGGAAUAAGCCACGGCUAACUACGUGCCAGCAGCCGCGGUAAUACGUAGGUGGCAAGCGUUAUCCGGAUUUAUUGGGUGUAAAGGGCGUGUAGGCGGGAGCGCAAGUCAGAUGUGAAAACUCAGGGCUCAACCCUGAGCCUGCAUUUGAAACUGUGUUUCUUGAGUGCUGGGGAGGCAAUCGGAAUUCCGUGUGUAGCGGUGAAAUGCGUAGAUAUACGGAGGAACACCAGUGGCGAAGGCGGAUUGCUGGACAGUAACUGACGCUGAGGCGCGAAAGCGUGGGGAGCAAACAGGAGUAGAUACCCCAGUAGUC